rnacentral:rRNA from 1 species
AACGCGAAGAACCUUACCAGGGCUUGACAUGCACGGUGCAGCGCGAGAGAUCGCGUGUCCUUUGGGGUCGUGUACAGGUGGUGCAUGGUUGUCGUCAGCUCGUGUCGUGAGAUGUUGGGUUAAGUCCCGCAACGAGCGCAACCCUCGUCCUGUAUUGCCAGCAACAUCCUUCGGGGUGGUUGGGGACUUGCGGGAGACUGCCGGGGUCAACUCGGAGGAAGGUGGGGACGACGUCAAAUCAUCAUGCCCCUUAUGUCCUGGGCUGCACGCAUGCUACAAUGGCCGGUACAGAGGGUUGCGAUACCGUGAGGUGGGGCGAAUCCCUUAAAGCCGGUCUCAGUUCGGAUCGGGGUCUGCAACUCGACCCCGUGAAGUCGGAGUCGCUAGUAAUCGCAGAUCAGCAACGCUGCGGUGAAUACGUUCCCGGGCCUUGUACACACCGAUAGC